AUCAAUUUAAGCGGAGGAAAAGAAACCAACAGGGAUUGCCCUAGUAACGGCGAGUGAAGCGGCAACAGCUCAAAUUUGAAAUCUGGCUCUUUCAGAGUCCGAGUUGUAAUUUGCAGAGGGCGCUUUGGCUUUGGCAGCGGUCCAAGUUCCUUGGAACAGGACGUCACAGAGGGUGAGAAUCCCGUACGUGGUCGCUAGCUAUUGCCGUGUAAAGCCCCUUCGACGAGUCGAGUUGUUUGGGAAUGCAGCUCUAAAUGGGAGGUAAAUUUCUUCUAAAGCUAAAUAUUGGCCAGAGACCGAUAGCGCACAAGUAGAGUGAUCGAAAGAUGAAAAGCACUUUGGAAAGAGAGUCAAACAGCACGUGAAAUUGUUGAAAGGGAAGCGCUUGCAGCCAGACUUGCUUGCAGUUGCUCAUCCGGGCUUUUGCCCGGUGCACUCUUCUGCAGGCAGGCCAGCAUCAGUUUGGGCGGUGGGAUAAAGGUCUCUGACACGUUCCUUCCUUCGGGUUGGCCAUAUAGGGGAGACGUCAUACCACCAGCCUGGACUGAGGUCCGCGCAUCUGCUAGGAUGCUGGCGUAAUGGCUGUAAGCGGCCCGUC
rnacentral:rRNA from 1 species